GCAAGUCGAACGAACUCUGGUAUUGAUUGGUGCUUGCAUCAUGAUUUACAUUUGAGUGAGUGGCGAACUGGUGAGUAACACGUGGGAAACCUGCCCAGAAGCGGGGGAUAACACCUGGAAACAGAUGCUAAUACCGCAUAACAACUUGGACCGCAUGGUCCGAGCUUGAAAGAUGGCUUUGGCUAUCACUUUUGGAUGGUCCCGCGGCGUAUUAGCUAGAUGGUGGGGUAACGGCUCACCAUGGCAAUGAUACGUAGCCGACCUGAGAGGGUAAUCGGCCACAUUGGGACUGAGACACGGCCCAAACUCCUACGGGAGGCAGCAGUAGGGAAUCUUCCACAAUGGACGAAAGUCUGAUGGAGCAACGCCGCGUGAGUGAAGAAGGGUUUCGGCUCGUAAAACUCUGUUGUUAAAGAAGAACAUAUCUGAGAGUAACUGUUCAGGUAUUGACGGUAUUUAACCAGAAAGCCACGGCUAACUACGUGCCAGCAGCCGCGGUAAUACGUAGGUGGCAAGCGUUGUCCGGAUUUAUUGGGCGUAAAGCGAGCGCAGGCGGUUUUUUAAGUCUGAUGUGAAAGCCUUCGGCUCAACCGAAGAAGUGCAUCGGAAACUGGGAAACUUGAGUGCAGAAGAGGACAGUGGAACUCCAUGUGUAGCGGUGAAAUGCGUAGAUAUAUGGAAGAACACCAGUGGCGAAGGCGGCUGUCUGGUCUGUAACUGACGCUGAGGCUCGAAAGUAUGGGUAGCAAACAGGAUUAGAUA
rnacentral:rRNA from 2 species